UACGGAGGGGGCUAGCGUUGUUCGGAAUUACUGGGCGUAAAGCGUGCGUAGACGGUUAUCUAAGUCAGAUGUGAAAGCCCCGGGCUCAACCUGGGAAUUGCAUUUGAGACUGAAUAGCUAGGGUGCGGUAGAGGGAAGCGGAAUUUCCGGUGUAGCGGUGAAAUGCGUAGAUAUCGGAAGGAACAUCAGUGGCGAAAGCGGCUUCCUGGACCAGCACCGACGUUCAGGCACGAAAGCGUGGGGAGCAAACAGG
rnacentral:rRNA from 1 species